rnacentral:lncRNA from 1 species
AGAGUGUGAAGAAUCGUCCAAGUGGCUCUUCCAAGUUCCUCUUUAGUCAUUGGUGUAGAAGUUCUCUGAAAAAAGCAAUAACAGUUUACUCAAGCAUGUUAAAAGUUUUCAAAAGUAUUUGCAAUUUAACAUAAGGUGAGAUCAAGAAUUGUACCACAUUUUGUUUCUAAAAGAACGUCAUUAUGUCAUCAACACAACAAAAUGACAACCAAAUAUACCCUCUAUACUGUCGUUAGGCCCACCACCUUCAAAUUUAUUUUAUUCAAAAGCAUAACGAUUAAUGAAGAAUUAAAAUGGCUUGUAAUAAACACUACGAAUGCCCUUCUUUUCUUUUAUUCUUGUUCCUGUUCUAUGUCUAUUACUACACUAUUUUAUAUAUAACAAGAGCAAAAAAACACACAAUGAAAUCUCAUUCAAUGCAAGCAUCAUUUCAAAAAAAAAAAAUCAUGUAAAUUCAAGGACAAUUCUCCAGUCUAGACUUUUCUUAAACAGUUACAUAGCAGGCCAGUGUGUAAAACACCAAAACAAAAAUAAUCCAUGAGUUAAAAUCAAUUAUAAUGCGAAUCGAGUGAUUGUAUAUAAUUAUAAAACAAUUCCAAAAAAAUCAAGUAUCAAUCUUGGUGCAUAGUUUAACCAAACUAAUAAACAAAAAAAAUUUAAAGUCAUUGGAGUUAAUCUUGGCUUGCUUCAACAUCAACAGAAAGUGGAAACCAAAUAAAGAAGCAUGAAUGGAUGUGAACAAGAAUACUUAGUUAGGCCAAGAUGAUGUUUACAUUGUUGUCUUGAAGUGGUUUUUCUUUAUAUGUCACUUGAAAAAUAGUUUGUUUUCAUGCAAUGAUGCAAAGACUUUAUGUGAACAGUGAGUCUAUGCAUAAAGAAAACUAUUGUGUGAGUAUAUUCAAACAAAUUCUCCUCAAAACUAAACCUGAUUGAUUCAGAAACUUUUUAACUGAAUAUGAACUGAACCAUAGAACUGAUUUAUUUUAGUUCGGUUUAGUUCAGUGUAUAUAAUUUAGCUUAAAAAAGUUAAUUUUUUUUGUUAGCCAAUUACAAAGACUUUUUACCUAAAUUUGAUCAUUUUUUAGUCUAGUUCAAUUGUAAUCACUUCUCAUUUCAUGUUUUUGGUAUCUUGUUCAAUGUUGGAUCAAGUUGCAAAAAUAGAAUCAUGCUAUUCAUACAAACCAUUGACAUCACAUACACACCAAAAUAAAACUAUAGAAGCAAAAGGAUUCUACAACAAAACCAAAAAUAAGGCAUGCAAGACAACAGAUGCUACAACUAAUAUAAACCGCCUACAUGACUUAGAGGGAUAUGCUUCCACUUGGCAAAUCCAGGACAUUGCGAAAGCUGUAUACAACUCUCUCAGGGAUGACUCUUCCUAUAAUGCACAAAUUAUGGCAAUGACUGUAAGCAGAAGUAAAUGCGUAAAAGACAAUAGUUGUUAGUUCAGGACUUUUAGUAACUCAAAUACAAUAGACGAAAAUAUUAUUUUAUUACUUAUUGGUGUGACAAGAGAAAUCUAAGACAAUUAGUAAUAUGCAUUGAGAACUAGUUUGAUGAAUAUUGAUAUUGAUAUCUUGUCUCCAAGAUCCCAUCAAUCUUUUUUUUUUUCAAAAUUUAAUUAGAUAUUUUGCCACUCAACUUCUCCCACCAACCAUUUUACAAUGGUUGGCCAUUCUAAAUGGGGUCUCUAGUAAAUUAGACUACUUAAAUAACUUAUUUUGAUUAAGAGUUUUGAUAGAUGAAAUGUGAUAACUGUAUCUUAAUUGCUUUAUUUUUUGUCUUUAACUCUUUGCUUCCAGGGCUUAAAUACUUACCACAAAUCAUAAACUUCACAAUCACAGCAACAUCAUAUGCCUAAUUCUAAUAAUCUAGUAGCUAAAUUACAAAGGAAAAAAAAAAAAACUUGAUUUGCACCCUUGUCUCGUCCUCAAUCACAGAAAAAAAUUUAAACUUUUCUGAAUAACACAGAAUAAGUAAUUUUGUUGAAAAAAAUUAUGUUCAAAUAAAUAGCAGAAUUAUUGGAAUUUGAAGCUUGCCAUGAUAGAUGCACAAGAGGACAAAAUUAAACCAGAUCGCGUGGUGGUGUCACGUGGUGGGGCAGUGCUGGUGUCACGGGUUGUGUCAAGCAGCGAAGGCAGACGUGUACUGGUGUUGCACGGUGAAGGCAGAUCAUGUCGUUGUGAGGUUGGUGUCACACGACGAAGGUAGAUCGCAUCGUGGUGGAGCUGCUGUUGUGCGUUAAUGGUGUAGCUGGUCGCACUGAGAUAGAGCCUAUCAUGGUGGAGCUGGUCGCGCCAAGGUGGAGCACGUUAUGGUGGAGCCGCUGUUGUGCAGUCGUGGUGGAACUGAUCGUGUCGUGGAGUGCGUUGAGGUCAAGUUGCUUUUGCAUGAUCGUGACGGGGCUGCUGUCACGUGGCAGUGGCAGUGUGGAAUUAAUGUCGUUUGUUGACGCAGACUAGUGGCUGCGUGGAUUAGCGCUGUGGAGAAUCUGGAGAUGGCAAUGAGAAUGAGAGAAAGAAAUCGAAUUUAUUUUUUUUUCUCUCAAAACAGAAUUAAACCUGACUCUUACACGGAUUUGACCGCAUCAUAAAUACUUUUGACUAUAUUGUAAUACGAGUAGUUACCAAACAUUACC